AAGGGAGCUUGCUCCUGGAUUCAGCGGCGGACGGGUGAGUAAUGCCUAGGAAUCUGCCUGGUAGUGGGGGAUAACGUCCGGAAACGGGCGCUAAUACCGCAUACGUCCUGAGGGAGAAAGUGGGGGAUCUUCGGACCUCACGCUAUCAGAUGAGCCUAGGUCGGAUUAGCUAGUUGGUGGGGUAAAGGCCUACCAAGGCGACGAUCCGUAACUGGUCUGAGAGGAUGAUCAGUCACACUGGAACUGAGACACGGUCCAGACUCCUACGGGAGGCAGCAGUGGGGAAUAUUGGACAAUGGGCGAAAGCCUGAUCCAGCCAUGCCGCGUGUGUGAAGAAGGUCUUCGGAUUGUAAAGCACUUUAAGUUGGGAGGAAGGGCAGUAAGUUAAUACCUUGCUGUUUUGACGUUACCAACAGAAUAAGCACCGGCUAACUUCGUGCCAGCAGCCGCGGUAAUACGAAGGGUGCAAGCGUUAAUCGGAAUUACUGGGCGUAAAGCGCGCGUAGGUGGUUCAGCAAGUUGGAUGUGAAAUCCCCGGGCUCAACCUGGGAACUGCAUCCAAAACUACUGAGCUAGAGUACGGUAGAGGGUGGUGGAAUUUCCUGUGUAGCGGUGAAAUGCGUAGAUAUAGGAAGGAACACCAGUGGCGAAGGCGACCACCUGGACUGAUACUGACACUGAGGUGCGAAAGCGUGG
rnacentral:rRNA from 1 species